GGGAAAGGUAACGAUUGGAACCGUUCGCAACGCUAACGCUACUUCCCGACCUGAUCGCGCGCACGCGGUAACGGCGUAGCGGUGGUUACGAAAGCGCUGUUCGCCGAUUUAAUCACUAACGUUUUGUUUCGCCCAGGCGAGCGAGUUGGGCUGAUACAGUGGAGUGGUCAGCGACGGAACCAUCCAGCCAUCCAGGGGGCUUGAAAUUAUUACCAUUGCACCUUUCGAACGCCCGGUCAGCGCUAGUCACGUUCAGCAAUCAUUAGCAAAUUACCAGGCGGGUGCAAAAAAACCCACUUUCAGGUCCAGUGGGUACCCUCUCCGUGCUCCGUGUGCUGGAAGAGUUUAUGUAUGUUUGUGUGAGAGUGUCUUCUUCACAAAGCUGCUUUGAAGUUGGGAACGAAUGCCCGUGUAACAGAGGGGAGCCGACCGGAGGCUUUUCCAUAUCUAACGUACCCGUACAAAGAACCUCCGAUUGAUAAGACGGUUCGAUACCGAUAUCGGACGGGUAUGAUAAUAACGGUUGAUGAAGUUUCUUUUUUUCCUACGGGGACGUGAGAUUUUCUCGGGGAAGCCAGCAACGGUGUGUGCCAAUGAUAGGUGAUGUAACUGUAGGCUCAACAACAAACAAAAAAAAGCGAUAGAUAGCGUGUACCGUACGUAAUUAGAUAACAAUUCAGCUCGAAACAUCAGUUCGUUUCUAUUUUAUUGAGAUUUUUUUCUCAAAUGAAGACGUUCUCUGGAUUUAUCAGGAAUUUUCACUGAUGAAUCAUGCAUAAUGCUGCAGAAUGGAUGAUAAUCACUAAGUCCAUUGGUUGAACAAUUAUCACAAACACUUUCCAAUGUAUACCCCAUACAAUGAGCCACUUUGUAACUGGUUUGAGUGCAAGGGCACAUUAAAUGCAUAAUGACACCCAAAAUUUAACCCCCCCCCCCCCCCCCCCCGUCCUAGCCGUCGAGGUCAUUAACAGUCCAAUGAUGCAUCGAACAGCUGACAACGUUCGACGUCAUCAAGCAGCCGUCAGUGUAGUAGGAGUGAGGUGUCGAUGCGUGAAUGGUCAUUUCUAGGCCACCUCACAAUGGCGUUGCCUCCGGGGCCAGCCUGCAGCCGCAUUAACGCGGUGCCACACAAUAAUGGGCAAAAGAAAGGCUGGGACACAAAUACUGCACUGCCCUGAAUCGUCGACGUCGUCGGGCAUACCCCACCAUCUGAACGCAUACACCGAGAGAAGAUCUAACAAACAAUCUGUGCUUUCUUAUGGAACGAUAACGGUUGUUUAUGUUUUAUUUUGCUUUGCCUCCACGGUACACACGGAGCACGGUUUCUGGAGCACUGGUUGUGUUGUGGAGAUGAUGUUGCAACGGUGGGAUUAAACUUGGAUUCACAGACGUUACAGCGAUUUUCCUCCGGUCUUUGUUGUUACGGGGACGGUUGGUUUGGGAUUUCGAUUCUAGCUAGCGUGUGGCAGUUUAUAUUUAUUUUCUUGGUUUUAUUUUCUGAUCAUCAACCCCGUAUCGAAGCCACUGAGUUGAUAAAUCCUAACCGUGAGCCACUUUAAACUGUCAAAUUAAAAGAAUCCAGCUAGAUCACUGACUCAUGGCAUAUGGCGCAAAUCUAUGCUUGAUCGACGUUUUUAAAAAGUUAACCAAUUUGUAAACAUUUUUUUCUGCGCCACGCCAGCAACACACACACACACACACUGGCCGAGCUCGCAUGGGGCGACCGACCACACAGCACAUCGAGAUACGUAUUACUUAUGAGAAAACCCAAAGCACCAAGUAUAGAGCGCCUAUUUUUAGUCACAGACAAGUAUGUGGUUUUUGCGUUCUGCGUUUGAGAUUAUCCGCUUUUCCGAAACGUGGAAAAUUUUCCAACUCGCUUUCCACAACGAUUGGCGACGUUAAGGUAUACGGUAAGCGAAAUAAAAGAGUUGUUUCGUUUUACUUUAGGAGCUGACCAAGACACUGCACAUCAAUUGAAGAUAGAUGUUUUUAAAACCGCACGUAGAUGUUAUAAUAUAUCACAGUUAUUAUGAU